rnacentral:misc_RNA from 1 species
CGGCACACCUCUCCCUCUCUUCUAUAUUGUUGCUUUACCGCCUAUCAUCCCGGCGUAGCAGCGUGCGCUGGUGCGCACAUCGGAUCUCUGUUGCGGGCGGCAGCAGUCGCACUCUGAAUGCCUCGGCCCACGCGUGGGAGGCCAUCGCACUCACUCCCAUCACACCCGCCUGUAGCCGUGGGGCAUUUUCUUCUUUGCUUGGCGAUUGCCGUGACGCGUUUCUAUCGAACAGGGUAACGCGCCCUUCGCGCUGCUAGCGACCUACCCUGCUUUCUCACACCCCUCCUGUGCAUAUAGGAAGGCGUCUACUCAGCGGCUCACGAGCGGAUUCGGCUACGCGGACACGUGCGCCCGACUAUUUGCCUGCGUUGGCGCAUUUUGGCGCACCACCUCCGGCUCACCACCCCUCCUUCCCCAUCGGGCAGCCCGAAGGACAAAAAAGAACGGGGCCGAGGCAGUGGACGAGCGGAAGGCCCCAAAAGGGAGAGCGAGCUGUUCUCUCGCUUGCACGGAGGCGCACACCCACCCACCCACACAUAUAUAUAUAUAUAUACGUACAGACACGUGUGCACUGCAGAGAAUACACACAAAUUAUUUGCUUUCAUACUUUUCCUUGUUGACCCCCCCUCCCCGCCACCCCUUCUCUCCCCCGCCAACGAAAGUCGGGCGCCGCAAAGAUGGACAUUUUAGGCGUGACCUUUAUUGCCGUCAGCAAGGUGAUCGUGGCGGUGCUCGUCGGUGUGUUCACGACAAACUUGAUACCGAGCAGCACGAUAACGCUGCACAACUUUUCCUUCCUGAUCUCCGCGCUCCUCCUCACAUCCCUCACCCUGUCGAACACGGCCAAAUCGAUCGACCUCGAAG